CCCGAGUGUAAUCGAAUAAGGGCUCGAGUUCUUCCUUAAAUUCUGCCUGCAAGAUUGAAAAAGUUUGGAACUGAUUCAUGAAAGAAACCAAAUUUUUUUAAAAAUAAAAUAAAAUCCUAGCAUUGUCAGAGAGAGAGAGAGAGAGACCGCACCAUCAUCAACCUCGAAAACGUCACUUUUCUUUAUUUUCUGAAACUCGCCGAAAACGCAAAGAGCAGACUUUGUGACCUGCGGAGAGUAUUUGAAUCGUUUUAAGCAGAAUAAUUAGAAUUUCAAAUUGCGAUGAUAAUUCAGAUACUACUCUCCGAGCCCCUGGUUUUGGGCUUCACCAAAUUGGGCCCGAGUUCUCGUUCUUUUUUUUUUUUUUUAUUAUUUUUAUUUUUUUUUUAUUUGCCCCAAACAUCUCUUAUCUCUUUAUAGAUUUGCAUCCAGGAUUUUUUUGAAAAGUAGCCACAUGUCCGAUUCAAAAUUGAAAAAUAGCAAAAUUUUUUUUUUUUAAAUAACCAAUUUUUAACAUAUUUGGACCAAAAUAUCUUUUAUUAUAUUUUUUAAAAUUUUUUUCUUGAUUUCCCUUUCUUUUUCCCUUUCAAAACUUAGCUAGGACUUUCUCUUUCUAAUUUCCCUUUCAAAAAACACCAUUGCAGUCACUACUAAAAGCCAGUUAUCAUCGCAGCCGCAUCAUUGCCAUAGCCAUCAAGAGCUAGUCAUCACUGCAGCUGCAUCAUUAUCAUCACCACCAAGAGCCAGUCGUCGCAGCACCAACACCAUUGCCAUCGCCGCAUCUGCACCAUUGCUGUCACCACCAAAAGCUAGUUGUCACCACAGCUGCAGGAUAAUUAAUCCAAGAAAAUUUUAUAUAUGAAACUCGUUGAAAAAAAAAAAAAAAGGAUUUAGACAUGGCCAUUGAAGAUUUGGAAGUAGAAGAGGAGGACCCAUUUCUUAGAUUCAUUGAAUAUGCCAGAUCCAUAAUAUCCCCAAAAGAAAAAGAAGAAGAAGACCAAGAUGUAGAUCCCAAAAUUGGAAAUGGAAAAGAGACCAAAUGACCCAGUUGAAAUUGGAUUGCUUCUCGAAUCCUCAUGACUUGUACUGCUUAUUCCAGUGAUGCUACCCCAGCAAUUCUUCUCUUUGAUAUCACUUAGGAGGUACAGAGCUUUUUUUUUUUCUUUUUUUUUUUUUUACACUUAAUUUCAUAUUUUUUCAAUGUAUUCUGUGGUGUUUGGUUAAUGAGAAAAUUGAGGGAAAAGAAAAAAAAAAAAAAAACCAAAGUUUGAACCUUUGUUUUGGGUUUUUGGUUAUGGAAAUGGGUACAGGUAAAGAUUUUAGAUUAACCAAGUUUUAUUUCUACUAACGGGGAAUUAGGGAUGUGUGGAAUGUUGUAGGCGUGGGGUGAGCAACAUAGAGAUGGGACUACUAAGAAAGGCCUGAAUGUAUCAACCAGUUGAGGAAGAAAUAUAGAAGAGCAAAGCUUCCAAACAUUGUUAUGAUUGACUCCAUUUAUGAAAAAAAUUUCUUGUCUUUGAAUAGUGUUUUGGAAGCUAUUAUUGUCAAUGCUUAUUUGCUCCCAGGUAUUCUUUGCAAAUCUAAAAAUCCUCAUGUUGUUUUACUUCAAUGGAGGCUUCG